AUGGAACUCCGGCGACGCUUUUCCAUCGAAGCAAAUGGUGUACUGGCAGGCUUGCCAGCCCUAAGCCCUAAUCACCCAUCAUUCCUUGACAAGCAAGUUAUUCUGCCCAUGGCUCGCCAUUAUGGGGUCAGCGAGGAGAAUUUGUGUGCAGAACUCCAUCAAGUUCGCCGGCUCCUGAAAAGGAAGGAAGAGCAAGGAUGCACCAUUAACAGCAACCAGGAGUUCCUAUCCCUUAUGCGGCCUUACAAAGACGCCUUCGUGGACCUCUACAAAUUGAUCUCCAUAUCUCUGACCCUGCCUGUAACAUCUGCGAGCUGCGAGCGCAGUUUUUCUUGUCUGCGUCGCUUGAAGAGCUACCUGAGGAAUAGCAGUGGGGAUGGCCGAACCAGUGACCUUGCACUUCUGGCGAUUAACCCUCUGCGAGCACGGGCUUUGGACAUCGACAGGAUCAUAGAUGCCUUCGCUCUCAACCACAACAACAGGCGCAUUGUCCUGUUAUGAAGACGUAGGUGGAAACUGACACCUGAUCUGCUGGCUUGCCUGGAUUUUGGUUUUUCUUAAGGAUUUUAAGCAUAGUUUUGUGUGCACUUUUUGAUACACUUUUUGAUAUCUUAUUAUUGUGGUUUUGAGUGCCUACUGUUUGGUUUCAUGUUUUGAUUGUGACCUAAAAUAAUAUAAUCUAUUUGAAAGCA